GACGAACGCUGGCGGCGUGCCUAAUACAUGCAAGUCGAGCGGACCGGAUUGGGGCUUGCCUUGAUUCGGUCAGCGGCGGACGGGUGAGUAACACGUGGGCAACCUGCCCGCAAGACCGGGAUAACUCCGGGAAACCGGAGCUAAUACCGGAUAACACCGAAGACCGCAUGGUCUUCGGUUGAAAGGCGGCCUUUGGGCUGUCACUUGCGGAUGGGCCCGCGGCGCAUUAGCUAGUUGGUGAGGUAACGGCUCACCAAGGCGACGAUGCGUAGCCGGCCUGAGAGGGUGACCGGCCACACUGGGACUGAGACACGGCCCAGCCUCCUACGGGAGGCAGCAGUAGGGAAUCUUCCGCAAUGGGCGAAAGCCUGACGGAGCGACGCCGCGUGAGCGAAGAAGGCCUUCGGGUCGUAAAGCUCUGUUGUGAGGGACGAAGGAGCGCCGUUCGAAGAGGGCGGCGCGGUGACGGUACCUCACGAGAAAGCCCCGGCUAACUACGUG
rnacentral:rRNA from 1 species